GGACCACAGAUCAGUGGCAAAGCAUUUCCUUUGCAUGCAGAAGGUCUCAGGUUCAAUCCCUGACAUCUCCA